CACYUUUKGUAAUACYUAUAAAAGGCCCAGCCUGCCCAGUGACUUUGUUCAACGGCCGCGGUAUCCUAACCGUGCUAAGGUAGCGUAAUCACUUGUUUUCUAAAUAAAGACUAGUAUGAAAGGCACCACGAGGCUUAAGCUGUCUCCUCUCUCCAAUCAGUGAACCUAAUCUCCCCGUGAAGAAGCGGGGAUAACUUUAUAAGACGAGAAGACCCUAUGGAGCUUUAAACAUUAUUACAAUGCCCUACCUACCACCCCACCACCAAGGUCCCCCCCCCACCUCGGGCACACUGAUUUUAUGUUUUAGGUUGGGGUGACCGCGGAGAAUAAAUUAUCCUCCACAAUGAAAAGAAAUUUCUUCUUAAAUAAUAAGCUACAACUUUAAUAAUCAAAAAUUUGACAUACAUUGACCCAAUAUUUUGACCAACGAACCAAGUUACCCUAGGGAUAACAGCGCAAUCCACUUCAAGAGCCCCUAUCGACAAGUGGGCUUACGACCUCGAUGUUGGAUCAGGGUAUCCUAGUGGUGCAGCCGCUACUAAAGGUUCGUUUGKUCNACGAUWAAAAMCCC
rnacentral:rRNA from 1 species